rnacentral:rRNA from 1 species
GCUAACUCCGUGCCAGCAGCCGCGGUAAUACGGAGGGGGCAAGCGUUGUUCGGAAUUACUGGGCGUAAAGGGCGCGUAGGCGGAUAUUCAAGUCAGAGGUGAAAGCCCCGGGCUCAACCUGGGAACUGCCUUUGAAACUGGAUGUCUGGAGUUCGGGAGAGGUGAGCGGAAUACCCAGUGUAGAGGUGAAAUUCGUAGAUAUUGGGUAGAACACCGGUGGCGAAGGCGGCUCACUGGCCCGCAACUGACGCUGAGGCGCGAAAGCGUGGGGAGCAAACAGGAUUAGAUACCCCUGUAGUC